UGUAUAUGGCCUUGAAACACCCGACCUCUUCCAUCGCCCUUCUCACGGUUGUCCGAGCAGAAACCCAUGAAUUGGUUCCCGGCUUCACUCCCGAGAAAUAUAUAACAGGAAUACUGCUGGGAGCUGCCAUAGCUAGCCUGGUUGUUGUUUUUCUCUGGGUGGACUUUUCGGGUUUAUGUGUUGAUCAAAAGCUCGAGAUGAGUAGUAGUAUUUCUUUAAAAACCCCGUCUCCUAUU
rnacentral:lncRNA from 1 species